rnacentral:rRNA from 1 species
UACGGGGGGGGCAAGCGUUGUUCGGAAUUACUGGGCGUAAAGGGCUUGUAGGUGGCCAACUAAGUCAGACGUGAAAUCCCUCGGCUUAACCGGGGAACUGCGUCUGAUACUGGAUGGCUCGAGUUUGGGAGAGGGAUGCGGAAUUCCAGGUGUAGCGGUGAAAUGUGUAGAGAUCGGGAGGAACACCGGUGGCGAAGGCGGGUCUCUGGGCAUCUCCUGACGCUGAGGCGCGAAAGCGUGGGGAGCAAACAGG